rnacentral:rRNA from 1 species
AUUGAACGCUGGCGGCAUGCUUUACACAUGCAAGUCGAGCGGCAGCGCGGGGCAACCCUGGCGGCGAGCGGCGAACGGGUGAGUAAUGCAUCGGAACGUACCCUGGAGUGGGGGAUAACGCCGCGAAAGCGGCGCUAAUACCGCAUAUGCUCUGAGGAGGAAGGUGGGGGACCGCAAGGCCUCACGCUCUGGGAGCGGCCGAUGUCCGAUUAGCUAGUUGGUGGGGUAAAGGCUUACCAAGGCGACGAUCGGUAGCUGGUCUGAGAGGAUGAUCAGCCACACUGGGACUGAGACACGGCCCAGACUCCUACGGGAGGCAGCAGUGGGGAAUUUUGGACAAUGGGGGCAACCCUGAUCCAGCCAUGCCGCGUGAGUGAAGAAGGCC